rnacentral:lncRNA from 10 species
GGACAGGUAGAUGAAUGAAUGGAUAGAUGGGUGGAUAAAUAAAUAGAAAAGACUACAGAGCUUUGUACAUGUGGCUGAGAGACCCACGUAAACUCAGGGAGCACCUACUGUAGUGGUGAAGCAUGUAGCUGUUGGAGCCAGUCUGAGGGGGCCAAAUCCCAGCUCUACUGCUUACAUGGUUUAAAACACAGGCACAAAAUAUUUGAUGCUCCCUCUUCAAGAGAUGGAGCCUACG